rnacentral:tRNA from 2 species
ACUUAAAUAGCUUAUUAGAGCAUUAUAUUGAAGAUAUAAAGGAAAUUUUAAAUUUUUAAGUA